GUGGGGAAUAUUGGUCAAUGGGCGGGAGCCUGAACCAGCCAAGUCGCGUGAAGGAAGAAGGAUCUAUGGUUCGUAAACUUCUUUUGCAGGGGAAUAAAGUGCAGGACGUGUCCUGUUUUGUAUGUACCCUGAGAAUAAGGAUCGGCUAACUCCGUGCCAGCAGCCGCGGUAAUACGGAGGAUCCGAGCGUUAUCCGGAUUUAUUGGGUUUAAAGGGUGCGUAGGUGGUUUGAUAAGUCAGCGGUGAAAGUUUGCAGCUUAACUGUAAAAAUGCCGUUGAAACUGUCGGACUUGAGUGUAAAUGAGGUAGGCGGAAUGCGUGGUGUAGCGGUGAAAUGCAUAGAUAUCACGCAGAACUCCGAUUGCGAAGGCAGCUUACUAAGCUACAACUGACACUGAAGCACGAAAGCGUGGGGAUCAAACAGGAUUAGAAACCCUUGUAGUCC
rnacentral:rRNA from 1 species